UACGUAGGGGGCAAGCGUUGUCCGGAUUUACUGGGCGUAAAGCGCGUGUAGGCGGCCACGCAGGUCCGUUGUGAAAACUAGAGGCUUAACCUCUAGACGUCGACGGAAACCGUGUGGCUAGAGUCCGGAAGAGGAGAGUGGAAUUCCUGGUGUAGCGGUGAAAUGCGCAGAUAUCAGGAAGAACACCAAUGGCGAAGGCAGCUCUCUGGGACGGUACUGACGCUGAGACGCGAAAGCGUGGGGAGCGAACAGGAUUAGAAACCCGAGUAGUCC
rnacentral:rRNA from 1 species